AGCGCUUCCGCCGCCGCCGUAGGUCAGACCCGCACUUACGACUUCGUGUGUUAAUUCCGCGCGUCCCACGUCGUCAACCAGACUCGCAUUUACGACUGUUAGGUGGGUGCUUCUGACUCCGUGAGAGCGUCACGUCCAAAGUUCUCUGUCAGACCUGUAUGUCAGACUUCGUAUCCUGGAUCCACGUGGUUGGUAGAUCUAUUACAUUCAGAGACACUGUAAACCUACUCAUUCGACCUAUGAAAAUUCCAAGAGGUCAUGAUUCUCACUUUGAAAAGGAAGAUGACCAUUUAUGGACUGAGAAUGCUGAACUCUGACACAAUAUCCAUAGAUGGGAGAGUUCUUCAAGGACCUGUGACCAACAGAGAUACAGAAUUCAUUUACAAAUCUAAGUGCAGUCUUAUAUAUAGUACCCCAGAACAACCGGAGAUUGUAUGCAAAGUGAUGUAUCUUCAUGUCGUACUUAUUAUGCCUCACAAAAUAAAUCCUUAUUCAAGAAAUUACUA
rnacentral:lncRNA from 1 species